AUUUAGCGAGCUGAGUGGGGAGGAGAGAGGGACAGAGAGCCUGCUUGCUUUAAAGGAACCAACCGGACAGGAGCCGCUUACACUCGUGUAAGCGGCUCCUCUCCCGCUUUGCUCCUUUAAAGAAGCAGGCUCUCUGUCCCUCUCUCCUCCCCACUCAGCGGCUCUUCUC
rnacentral:miRNA from 1 species